AGACCCGAAACCCGGUGAUCUAGCCAUGGGCAGGUUGAAGGUUGGGUAACACUAACUGGAGGACCGAACCGACUAAUGUUGAAAAAUUAGCGGAUGACCUGUGGCUGGGGGUGAAAGGCCAAUCAAACCGGGAGAUAGCUGGUUCUCCCCGAAAGCUAUUUAGGUAGCGCCUCGUGAAUUCAUCUCCGGGGGUAGAGCACUGUUUCGGCUAGGGGGCCAUCCCGGCUUACCAACCCGAUGCAAACUGCGAAUACCGGAGAAUGUUAUCACGGGAGACACACGGCGGGUGCUAACGUCCGUCGUGAAGAGGGAAACAACCCAGACCGCCAGCUAAGGUCCCAAAGUCAUGGUUAAGUGGGAAACGAUGUGGGAAGGCCCAGACAGCCAGGAUGUUGGCUUAGAAGCAGCCAUCAUUUAAAGAAAGCGUAAUAGCUCACUGGUCGAGUCGGCCUGCGCGGAAGAUGUAACGGGGCUAAACCAUGCACCGAAGCUGCGGCAGCGACACUCAGGUGUUGUUGGGUAGGGGAGCGUUCUGUAAGCCUGCGAAGGUGGCCUGUGAGGGUUGCUGGAGGUAUCAGAAGUGCGAAUGCUGACAUAAGUAACGAUAAAGCGGGUGAAAAGCCCGCUCGCCGGAAGACCAAGGGUUCCUGUCCAACGUUAAUCGGGGCAGGGUGAGUCGACCCCUAAGGCGAGGCCGAAAGGCGUAGUCGAUGGGAAACGGGUUAAUAUUCCCGUACUUGGUGUUACUGCGAAGGGGGGACGGAGAAGGCUAUGUUGGCCGGGCGACGGUUGUCCCGGUUUAAGCGUGUAGGCUGGUUUUCCAGGCAAAUCCGGAAAAUCAAGGCUGAGGCGUGAUGACGAGGCACUACGGUGCUGAAGCAACAAAUGCCCUGCUUCCAGGAAAAGCCUCUAAGCAUCAGGUAACAU
rnacentral:rRNA from 1 species